AGUGAACGCUGGCGGUAGGCCUAACACAUGCAAGUCGAACGGCAGCACAGUAAGAGCUUGCUCUUACGGGUGGCGAGUGGCGGACGGGUGAGGAGUACAUCGGAAUCUACUUUUUCGUGGGGGAUAACGUAGGGAAACUUACGCUAAUACCGCAUACGACCUACGGGUGAAAGCAGGGGAUCUUCGGACCUUGCGCGAUUGAAUGAGCCGAUGUCGGAUUAGCUAGUUGGCGGGGUAAAGGCCCACCAAGGCGACGAUCCGUAGCUGGUCUGAGAGGAUGAUCAGCCACACUGGAUCUGAGACACGGUCCAGACUCCUACGGGAGGCAGCAGUGGGGAAUAUUGGACAAUGGGCGCAAGCCUGAUCCAGCCAUACCGCGUGGGUGAAGAAGGCCUUCGGGUUGUAAAGCCCUUUUGUUGGGAAAGAGAAGCAGCAGGUUAAUACCCCGCUGUUCUGACGGUACCCAAAGAAUAAGCACCGGCUAACUUCGUG
rnacentral:rRNA from 1 species